rnacentral:rRNA from 1 species
UUAAGCGACUAAGCGUACACGGUGGAUGCCCUGGCAGUCAGAGGCGAUGAAGGACGUGCUAAUCUGCGAUAAGCGUCGGUAAGGUGAUAUGAACCGUUAUAACCGGCGAUUUCCGAAUGGGGAAACCCAGUGUGAUUCGUCACACUAUCAUUAACUGAAUCCAUAGGUUAAUGAGGCGAACCGGGGGAACUGAAACAUCUAAGUACCCCGAGGAAAAGAAAUCAACCGAGAUUCCCCCAGUAGCGGCGAGCGAACGGGGAGGAGCCCAGAGCCUGAAUCAGUGUGUGUGUUAGUGGAAGCGUCUGGAAAGGCGCGCGAUACAGGGUGACAGCCCCGUACACAAAAAAUGCACAUACUGUGAGCUCGAUGAGUAGGGCGGGACACGUGGUAUCCUGUCUGAAUAUGGGGGGACCGAUCCUCCAAGGCUAAAUACUCCUGACUGACCGAUAGUGAACCAGUACCGUGAGGGAAAGGCGAAAAGAACCCCGGCGAGGGGAGUGAAAAAGAACCUGAAACCGUGUACGUACAAGCAGUGGGAGCCUCUUUUAUGGGGUGACUGCGUACCUUUUGUAUAAUGGGUCAGCGACUUAUAUUCUGUAGCAAGGUUAACCGAAUAGGGGAGCCGAAGGGAAACCGAGUCUUAACCGGGCGUUAAGUUGCAGGGUAUAGACCCGAAACCCGGUGAUCUAGCCAUGGGCAGGUUGAAGGUUGGGUAACACUAACU